rnacentral:tmRNA from 1 species
UACGGAUUCGACAGGGGUAGAUCGAGCUCAGGUUGCGCGUCGAGGUUACGGCUCGUAAAACGUUACUCGCCUAAAUAUAACUGGCAAAGAAAACAAUUUAUCUUUAGCAGCUGCGUAAGCACUGUCUAAAGGAUCCUACCUGCUAUCGCCCAUGUAGCAGAUUGUAGGGUCUCAACUUAUAGUGGGCUAUACGGUCAUCCACCGUCUGAGGAUGGGCGUUGAAAUGAAUCAGACUAGCUACUUGGAAGCCUGUUGGUAGGCUGAAAAGUAAGCGAAUGAUAAUAUACCAACUACACGUGUAGAAGCCUGAGUGGCGAUAUCUCUGGACGUGGGUUCGAUUA